GAAACCGAGUCUUAAUUGGGCGUUAAGUUGCAGGGUAUAGACCCGAAACCCGGUGAUCUAGCCAUGGGCAGGUUGAAGGUUGGGUAACACUAACUGGAGGACCGAACCGACUAAUGUUGAAAAAUUAGCGGAUGACCUGUGGCUGGGGGUGAAAGGCCAAUCAAACCGGGAGAUAGCUGGUUCUCCCCGAAAGCUAUUUAGGUAGCGCCUCGUGAAUUCAUCUCCGGGGGUAGAGCACUGUUUCGGCUAGGGGGCCAUCCCGGCUUACCAACCCGAUGCAAACUGCGAAUACCGGAGAAUGUUAUCACGGGAGACACACGGCGGGUGCUAACGUCCGUCGUGAAGAGGGAAACAACCCAGACCGCCAGCUAAGGUCCCAAAGUCAUGGUUAAGUGGGAAACGAUGUGGGAAGGCCCAGACAGCCAGGAUGUUGGCUUAGAAGCAGCCAUCAUUUAAAGAAAGCGUAAUAGCUCACUGGUCGAGUCGGCCUGCGCGGAAGAUGUAACGGGGCUAAACCAUGCACCGAAGCUGCGGCAGCGACGCUUAUGCGUUGUUGGGUAGGGGAGCGUUCUGUAAGCCUGUGAAGGUGUGUCGUGAGGC
rnacentral:rRNA from 1 species